rnacentral:tRNA from 1 species
AGUCAAAUAGCUUAUAUAAAGCAUAUAUUUUGAAAAUAUAAGAAUGAAGAAUAAAUACUUCCUUGACUU